GUCACUUUAGCAUCGUAUACACCACAUGACCCCACAAACGUUUUUCAGUUUAAUAAUUAAUAUUUCUUGUUGUUUUCAUAGGAUGAUGGCUUGAUGUUGCAGUGUGAAUUGUGCAACAGAUGGCAGCACUGCAUCUGCUUUGGUUUGGUGACAGAAUUAGAUGUGCCUUCUAUCCACUGUUGUGUCGUGUGCUCUAAAGAAUGUACUGAUCCUAAUUUGGCUACUCUCCACGGUGUUGCUCUACGUGCGAUGUGUCUUUGACGGAAGGCAGUUUUUGCAGUCUUGACUGAACACACAUCAGACCCGUUUACUAACUCUGAUCUCGCAGAACGUUUAGACAUUGAAAUGAGUGUAUCUCAGGGUAUUCUCAGACGUCUUGAAAGAGAAGGAUUUGUGAAACCCAAAUGCAGCAUAGGAAGGUAUUUUACUUGAGAGGGAAAAGUCUUUCAUUGCAGCAAAGACGUUAUCUGUGCUGGAGCUCAAAGAGUAUUUCAAGGAGUCCAUUAAAACGUUUCAGAUGAAAGGCAACUCUGCUGGCUGCAAUGUUCAAGAAAAUCAGGUCGAGAGUUUAACUCAGAAGACAGCAGGACUGCAGCUAAUCAACAGGAAAAGGGCAAUCACUGACUUGACAGAAAACAGCUUUCAUCAUGAAGAGAGCACCACCUCUCCGGAUAAACGUUUGUACUCCAAACGUCUGGCAAAGAGAGCUUUAGAAAGAAUGGGAGCACCACCUCCAGCUGAUUGUACUCAUGACUCAGAACUGAAGGACAGUCAACCAAAACGACGUAAACAAAGUAUCAGUAAGAAAGCAAUUCGAGUGUGACUGUUGUGAGAUGACAUACCAUUGAAGGUGAUAGAGUGAGGUGAAUAUAGAAGGAUUAGUGUCUGUUGUCAGGUAAUAUUAGGAUACAGUUAUAGUACACACCAAGGACACAUACAGUUAUCAGAAAUCUUACCAUUUUCCAUGCAUGAUAUAAGUUAUGCUUGCUGCUUUACCAUUCACUUUGAGCAUCACUAGAUUUCGUAUGAUUAUGUCCUCUUCGCAUUCUCAUAACAGAAUUCUGGCUGGCUGAUAUACUUAUGUGAAGUAGUGGGAAUGGUUGCCAGAUGUGUUAUGUUGAUUUUGUUUUAAUGUAGAAUUUAGAGUGCAUGGUUAAUGGAGGGUCUAUUACAAGUACAUAUGUCUACUUGUACAUGAA